GGCAGGGAGGGAGCAGCAGGUCUCGAAUCCUCGACCAUCGAGCCGGAGGUCCGGUGCGCUAUCGUUUGUGCAGCAAAAGCGUGCUCGUGCGGCACAAUCGAUUUCCGCGCUUAUAAACCCAGGGUCGUUACAAUAUCAAGACAAAUAGGUAGCAAAAAAUUAGCUAGAAAGCUAGCCAGUUAUGUUCACAGCAAUUAACAGAAUAAGUUUGGGACAAUUGGUAUGUAAAACUCCAGUGUUGACAGCCAUUUAUUCUACCGUGUCAGAUUGCCACCAACGUCUAGUUGGCUAGUCUGACUGAAGUCUGUCUGAGCCCUGUCUGGUACGGAGGUUUCAGAGUACUCUGGUAAUAGCAGAGCACAACAACAACCAGCUCAAAGCCAUCGCACUGUGUUCAUUACUGCUGCCAGCAAGGUGGGAGGAGAGGUCACCUGCCUGGUGGCUGGAACCAACUGUGCCAAGAAUCAGGUGUGUUUCAGGAAGACUUGCGCAAUAGCCCAGCUCUGCUGGAGGAUGGUUGGCUACUCCUGCGAUAACAGCUGUUCAGUCACACAUCAAUGGAAGUUAGGUUUUAAUGUGGUAUUUCAUACGUAUGUCACACUUGUGCAGUACAAUGUAGCUAUUUCAUGAUAUACAGCUGGCUGAUAUGGUUAACUGUUUAUUUCUGUGUUGGAUUCUUCUUUAGCAGGUUGCAGACCAGAUCAGUAAAGUCCAGGGGGUCAAGAAGAUUCUAGUGGCUCAACAUGACUGCUACAAAGGACUGUUACCAUUCUGGGAUGGGAUAGUUUUGUUACGUUCUGAGAGGAAUUGACUCCUUUGAUUCUUGCUUCCCAGAAGCAGUUCAACUUCACACACAUCUGUGCAGGAGCUUCUGCUUUUGGGAAGGUAAUUCCCUGGCCACAGUGAAGUGCAAUGAGAAAGUCAAGGUGUUCACAGUGAGGGGAACUUCCUUUGAACCUGCUGCUGUGGAGGGAGGCAGUGCUGCUACUGAACAGGUUGCCUCACCCUCUCCUGUGGGGAUGUCAGAAUGACUUAAGCAGAGCCUGACCAAGAGCGAUUGACCAGAGCUCACAAGUGCCAAAGUGGUAGUGUCCGCAGGACGAGGGCUGAAGAGUGGUGAGAACAUCAAACUGCUGUACGACCUCGCUGACAAAAUGGUGCUGCAGUGGGGGCCUCCAGAGCUGCUGUGGAUGCUGGCUAUGUCCCCAAUGACAUGCAGGUCGGCCAGACUGGCAAGAUUGUAGCACCUGAACUCUACAUCGCAGUGGGCAUCUCUGGAGCUAUUCAGCACCUGGCUGGGAUGAAGAACAGCAAGGCACACAACAUCACACACAUCAAACUAAGGAGUCUAAAUAAGCUAGUGGUAUUAUUGUGGUAUAUCUGUGUUAUUACUUGUGGAUAAUACUUUUCAUUUAAACAAAUGUAAAUAGAUUUGUUCUACUGAUGAAAAAAUAUAUAUAUAUUUAUAUAUUUGAGGAUGCAAGAUGUUCUGAAUUUUUCUAGUACUUUCUAAUACAGGAUGUGUUUUAUACAGCAAGAUAUUUUUGAAGCAAGUUGUGCUUUUUAAAACAUUGUUUUUUGCUGAUUCUUGCUGUCGCAAGUCAUGCACAAGUACGUAUAGUUAUAGGGCUUGUGCGUCUGAUUUCUAAAUUAACUGUGGUGUUGAUUUAUUUGAUUAAAUUCUUCUGAGCUCUUUGUGAUGUAGCGCCUUGUCACCAGGAGAGUGAUAAAUACGUCUCACCCUCAUGUUUAUCACAAUUUCAUGUAGCUAAGCUUAUUCUACCGCCUUUUAUGGAAUUUGCACUAGUGAUGGAUUAACAAGUAAAGAUAUACAUACAGUAAAACAAUGGGGAUACUGAUUAAAUGUCAUAUUGAUUUAAAAUAAAUUGUAUUAAUGUUAAAAAAGUGUUAAUUAAUAA